rnacentral:misc_RNA from 1 species
UUUUUUUUUUAAAAAAAUAAAAAUAAAAAAAUAACUACAAUGAGCAUGUUCUAUGGACAAAAAGCUGCUAUUGCUCACAAAAAUGUCUGGUUCAUUAAAUGCUAGGAUAGAUUGUGCAGGUUCAGCAUUCACAAAGCACUGUGAAAGGCAAUAAUUUAAAAUUGCAAAGCCUUUUCAAUUACACAGACUGUUGUGACCUCAUAGUCCAAACUUAAAAAGUUAAAUACCACAAAAAAAUGAUAGGUAUAGACAAGAAUUCUACCACAGAUUAUUCUAAACAAGUUCUUGGCUCAAUCAAACUCAUCAGAACUAGAUCAACCCCAUAAUAACUAAUCCAUAAAAGAUAAGUAA